GUCGAAAGUUGCAUGCCAACACGAAGUUUGAUGCGGAUGAACCGGAGGAUCCACCAAAGGUUGAAGAGAAGCUUGGUGCUGUUCCACAUGGUUCAUCCAUUGAUUCUUAUGGAAAUAUCUUUGCACCAGUGGUGAGAAGUUUGAGUUCCAGGCUGAGAUAUCUUAGCUUAUGGACAUAGGCUGAGGUAUCUUGGCUAAUGUCUACACGUGUGGCCAUGGCAAGGAACGAUUCUGUUGCUGGGUAUUCAGAAAAAUGGACCACACUAGAAGCCAUCUUGACCCACGGUUGAAGAAACAAGCAUCACAUGAGUGCUGAAUUCACCUGUCAUGUUGAAGUCAAACGCAUACGCAAUAGCACCAAGAGUGGUUCAGGCUGGCAUGUGGCGGUGGGAAUUGCAUGAAAGGUGUGGGGCGUGAAGACAACGAUAUGUGGUGUGAUGGGUGCGAAAACCCCGUUGUCUUCCCGAGAGGAAGUUUCAGGCUAGAACUCGAGGUGUUUGACUCAACAGCCGAAGCUGCCGUUGUCUGCUUUGAUAACACCGCCCAACGCUUGACAAAGACCAUUGCUCAUAGUAUACUCACAGCAGAGUCUGGCCUGUCACGCGUCUACAGCCUUUAUUCCACUGACAUACAGGAUAAGUUCACUCCGGUUACGGUAAGGAACGCUGAUGGAAGCAUUUCAACACUGCCGAAUUGUUUGCACUCUCUUGUGGGCAGCACUCAGACCCUCCAGCUUGAUUGGUGUACGUAUUAUGAUCAUGGCCAUUUUGAAUCCUUCAACUACAAUGUCAC